UAUCCGUCGUGGGCGUAGGAAAAUUGAGGAGAGUUGACUAUAGUACGAGAGGACCGAGUCGAACAUACCUCUGGUGUAUCUGUUGUCACUCCAGUGUCAGUGCAGAGUAGAUAUUUAUGGAAUGUAUAAACGCUGAAAGCAUCUAAGCGGGAAGCCAACUUCAAGAUGAGUUUUCCCAUUUUUAUAAAGUAAGAUCCCAAAAAGACUAUUUGGUUGAUAGGCUAGAGGUGGAAGUUUGGCAACAAAUUGAGCUGACUAGUACUAAUAGAUCGAGGAUUUAAUCUC
rnacentral:rRNA from 1 species